rnacentral:rRNA from 1 species
UACGGAGGAUGCAAGCGUUAUCCGGAAUGAUUGGGCGUAAAGCGUCCGCAGGUGGCUGUGUAAGUCUGCUGUUAAAUAGUGAGGCUCAACCUCAUAAAAGCAGUGGAAACUACACGGCUAGAGUACGUUCGGGGCAGAGGGAAUUCCUGGUGUAGCGGUGAAAUGCGUAGAGAUCAGGAAGAACACCAGUGGCGAAGGCGCUCUGCUAGGCCGUAACUGACACUGAGGGACGAAAGCUAGGGGAGCGAAUGGG